GGCCAGGAUAUUUAGAAGGAAAAAAAAUCAUGCAGACCCUGCAAAUUUAGCAGCAGAGACUUGAUCUUUGAUGACGAGCUUGUAGAUGCUUUUGACAACAAUGUGUUCUCCAAAGCAUACUCCUGUCAUGAAAUACAGUGUCUUCACCAGUUUCAAGAAGAUAGGAACCAAAAAUAGUCCGUAUUGGAGUGGAUGACCUCCAAGUACCGCUGGAUUUGUGAGACAGAAAGUAGAUGGCAUUACUGCUGAUGCGAAAGAGAAGUCUAAUUUGUAGCCCAGCAGGAUCCCAAAAUAUGUUCAAAAUAUUAUUUAUGACUGAAAAUUAAAAAUUAAGAGUAAAGGCAGAUUUUACUGUUUACUUAGCCAAGUCAUAAAAUAUACAAGCAAAGCAAAUAUAAACAACAGCAAAACAAACUGAGCUAAGGCAUGCUUACAGCUAGCCUAAUCAUCUUAAAACUCCAAAUAUUAUCUCAUGACAGAUGGCUGCUGGAGUCUACAAAGGGCUACUCCAAAUUCUCUUCCCCAUUCCAUAAAGACCACCCCUAUUGAGGACAUUUCCAUCCAAAUGCAUUAUUAUAUAUCCUGUCUUGAAACAGAAGAUUUCAUUUCCUUGCCGCUAUUUGGUGAGUCUUGUGCUGGAAAAGGGCCUAUCACCUACCUUCCUCUGGACCAGCUUUUGCAGAUGAAUUACUCUCUACCAUGGUCUUAGAAGGAGCAGUCAAGAAUGCCUCCCUUCCUUACCAUGCUGGCCUGGGCUGUUCAUGCCAGACUGCUUGCUCUGCUCUGUGAUCUGCAGAGGACUUUCAAGCACAACCUGGAGACAGAGUGUGGGCAGGGGGCCACAGAGCUCAGCUGCAGCUGAGAAGGGGUUUUCCCUUCUGGUCCUCUGCCAGUGCCAAGGAAGCCAAGAGAAGAUGAGACCAUGCUUCUGCAAAUGCAAAUAAAGAGACCUGCAGGUACAACUUCAUCACAUGCAAUCUUACAGUUUGUUGUAAGCCACUUCCAUGCUGCGGUCAAAAAAUGAUCACAGGACUGAGUGAACACACCCAAGAGAACUUGUAAAAAGUACUGACACUGGAGUAUUGGAAUACCUCAGAGUCGAACACAGGAAAACUCUGAUGAAUUUCAAGGAAAUUCUGAUAUUUCUCACUUUAAGGGGUCAAGAUCUUGCAUGGAAGAGGGGAUGUGUGUCUAGAGAAAGUUUUAUUUGGCCUGCAGACAUGUUAUUUUGUCAUAUAUCCCAGCUUACCAAUAUACUUAGCCCCAUUCACCAAAUUUAACCACGUUUGUUGGCAGUACAGACAAUUCAUACAUAUUGUGGUACUAAAAGAUCUGGGAAAUGCACUACUGGAUUAAGAAAAGACAGCAUGUUAACUGUCCAAUUGUCAGAAAAGCUGCUGUGCCUGCUCAGGGACCCUGCUAGGCACCAGAGAAUCUACUCUGACAAUUCCCCCCCCUUAAAACAAGGCAUAUUCCGUUAUAUAACAAGGCAUAUACAUUUGCAUCUAGUCUGGGCCCCCCAGCACAGGAAGGACAUGGAUCUGUUGGAGCAGGUUCAGAGGAGGGCCACAAAGAUGAUCAGAGGGCUGGACCACCUCUCCUACAAAUACAGGCUGAGAGAGCUGGGGCUCUUCAGCCUGGAGAACAGAAGGCUCUGAGGAGACCUUACAGUGGCCUUCCAGUACCUGAAGGGGAUCUACAGGAAAGCUGGGGAGGGACUUUUUAGAAGGGCAGGAAGUGACAGGAGAAAUGGCUUUAAACUGGAAGAGGGCAGAUUUAGACUAGAUAUAAGGAAGAAAUUCUUUACUGUGAGGGUGGUGAGACACUGGAACAGGUUGCCCAGUGAGGUUGUGGAUGCCCCCUCCCUGGAAGCAUUCAAGGCCAGGCUGGAUGGGUCUGUGAGCAACCUGGUCUAGAGGGUUAAGGUCCCUUCCAACUCAAACCAUUCUACAUUUCUGUGAUACGAGGAUUCUGUGAUUCUGGUUGUCAUGAGAAGUAUUUGCGUUUUGUUUUCAUUUAGUGGCUGCUCGCUCAGGGUCUUCUGAGGGAGCUGGAUGCUUACGCUGUUUAUUUCUUGUGGUGAAAUACUUUUUCUGAGUAGAAGAUGUUGAGGAAAUGUCCCAGAUUUUACGGGAAACAAUUUUCUGGACAGCUAUAGAAUUGUCACAUCCAGUUGUUUGGAAUUAUUUUGUCACUAGCACACAUAUACUUUGUCCUCAACAAGUUGUUCUGAGCAAAUGAGAAGCACCUUAUUUUAAGGGAAACAAAGGAGAAAGCCCAUUUCAAUGAACUGAACCAUUCAUUCUCUCAUAAGUGCUUACUUCCAUCCUUCCUGACAUAUAGUGUUAGUCUAAUAACCAAUUGAUGCACAAAGGAAGAACUUCUAACAGCUUGAAAUUAACUUAGAAGUUUCCUUCUUUGCAGAGAAUAUACCAGACUGUGCAUUAUCUACAAAUGGGGACAUGGUAUUUCUGUAUUUCUGUGAAAUGACAUUGACGACACAUUUCCCCUGAUUUUGUAACUUUGUAAAUUUCUUGGAAAAUGAGGAAGAAUGAAUAAUGGUAUUGUCUCUCUUUUUUAGGCUCAGGAUAUUUCUUCUACAGUACAUUUUGUUGUAUUAUGCAAUUUGUAAAAAGUGCAGCUUGCUGAAAACAAUAUUCUUUCUCAUUUUGCACCAAGCACUUACAAGCUGAUGUUUCACAGUCAAAAGGCAGCAAGUGGAAAUGGAGUGUCAAGGUUUACAUAAUUCUGUUUUUGUCACAAUUCACAUUUUUAAGUAUUCUUCAUAUCCUUUUACUGGUGUCUUGGAAAUAAUCAUGCAGGCUCCAAUUCUUCCAUUGUACUAAGAGGUGUUUGUCAAAAGCAUCUGGGUAUUUAUAGGAAAAAAAACAGAUCCUUUGCAAGCAGGUCAGUUUUCUUCUCAGCUGGAAGAAUCACUGGGUUUCAAGAAGCUUUUACCUUCCCAUGAUGCUGCAUUUUAGCUGCCUGCAAGGCCCAGGCAAUGCACACAAGUUUGUCACAAAGAAGCAACGUAUAAGCAUGGCCAUAGAUAAUAACACAAUGCGCUUCUAUUGCUGCCGUAAUGCUGGGAUCUGAGCAUUUCUGAACAACAAAUGAAGAUGCAUUCAACUCUGCAUCUAAUCACUGAUAAAAAGGUUGAACAGGACUGGCCCUAGAAUUGAGCCCUGGGGAACGCUGCUAGUGACCACUGAUGUAAAUGUAUUAUCUAGCUUUUUAAAAUUCAGAACAAAGUUAUUUAUUAAACACAUCUUUUUUGUUUGUUUGUUUCCUUUUACAUUGCUAUUUACUUUCCUAACAAUGGGUCAAUAUCUCCAUUUUAUUUGUUUUCUUGGACUUCAUAGUGUCAUAGAGUCACAUAAUCAUUCGAGUUGGAAGGGCCCCUCAAACGCCAUCUAGUCCAACUCCCCUGCAAUAAACAGGGACACCUACAGCUCCAUCAGUGUUCAGAGCCCCGUCCAGCCUGACCUUAAGUGCCUCCAGGGAUGGGGUACCCACUACUUCUUUGGGCCCUGCCUCACCAGAUAUUUCUUCUUCAUGGUGUCAGUUUUCUCCAGGUUCCAACAUAAAAAAUAUAUAUCAAUAUAAAUCAUUAUUAAUAGUUUUCUUACUAAACCUGUUACAGAUCUAGCUAUUGUUACUGAUGCCUUCAUUGCUAAGCAUUUUGGUUCUUUUAAACAGCUUCCCAUUUUGUUCAGUUGUGGGAUUAUGCUGUCUGGGGUUAGAAGUAAACAGCUUUUAAUUUCCAUUCACAUUUUUCUGAUAUUUUUUUUUCCUCCCAGCUGAUUUACUUCAUAAUCACUUUCAGCUUCAUGAAAUCGAUCCUCUUAAAUCACAAAGGAUCUGUGCACACGCACACACAUGCAAACAUGAAGACAUGCAUGUGUAUGUGAGCAUUUCGGCGUGCGUGAGGCUGUGUUUGCAUAUAGGCACUGUACAGCCUCACACAGAUGGUUGGGAUUUUAUUAUGUUUAUACAAAGCUGCUAUAAUCAAGUCACAAACACUUGAACUGAACCACAAGUACUGGGAAAUUCCGGCACUAACUUCAUGCCUAGCGCAGAGCUGCCUCGUGCUGUCUGCAAUGCUUUCUGAAUUGUGCAACUGCCAUUUCUGAUACCCUGCAGGGCUCAGGGCAUUCAGCACUGAGUGGAAGUGUGCAGCCAGCAUUUCCCAGCCUUCUGAAGUCCUCCAUAGGAAACCUCCAGUCUUCCUCCAUGCGCUGGAGAUAGAUGCUGCUAACUCAGUUUGGUGAGAACGACCAAUACAACUGCUCCCACUUGCUCCGGUGUCACAUCAAUCUAUAAGAAGCCAAAAGGAUGUCUGCAACCAGCAAGCCAGAAAGAAAGCUGUAUUGUUUUUCACAAUGAAUGGCAUUAACUCCUUUUCUUCCAUACAAAUAUACUCUGAAUACUUUGCUUGUUGCCUAAAUUCUUGAUCAUAGAAUCACCGAAUCAUUUGAAAUGGAAAGGACCCUUACAGGUCAUCUAGUCCAGCUCCCCUGCAAUGAACAGCAUUCAUCUGCAAUGAAUAGGGAUGUUGAUGUCGAAGAGUGGAACAGCUGAAAACUUUCUAAAUGUCUAUUCACUUCGUCUGUAGAUCUUUUAACCUUAAAUAAUUGCAUAGGUCAUAUUACGUAAAUAGUAUAAGAUAAUAUUAGAAAUAAAUUAAGAUCACAGUAUAGAUAGCAUAGUAGAAAACAAAUCCAAAUUACAGAUUUCUCCAUUAUUGAAAUAUACCGAGUAAGAUGAUCAGAAAACAUUUAAGAUUCAGAAGUUGAAAUAAGCAAUAAUAAGUUGAACAAUCAAUCUGAUCGAACACAGUCAAAAGCUAUACGCUCUGUGAUCUCAGGUAGAAGAAUUUUGUAUUAGAAAUUAGAAAUAAAUACAUCUGCUUUAUGGAGAUAAAGGUAAUUCAGCAUUAGAUUUUUCUGUAUACAGGGAAUAUAAAUUUUUAUCUUUGGUGAACUAGUAAAAGAAGAGUUGAACUCAUUGCUACUGUUUAAUUUUGCUUCUGUACAUAAGGGACCUUCAGCAGUUACCCAGAGAGAACCGUGAGGUGGAAUGAGAACUGUUUGGCUGGUAGAGCUCAGAGGGUUGUCAUCAGUGUGGCAGUCUGGUUGGAGGCCUGUAACUAGUGGUCUUCCUCAGGGGUUGGUAUGGGAUCUGGUCUUGUUCAACGUCUUCAUCUUCAUUCAUGACCUGAAUGAAGGGAGAGAGUCCACCCUCAGCAAGUUUGCUGAUGAUACAAAGCUGGGAAUAGCGACUGACAUGGGGACCUUAUCAAUGCUAAUAAAUAUCUAAAGGGUAGGACUCAAGUGGAUUGGUCCGAGUUCUUUUCAGUGGUACCCAGCAACACUACAAGGGGCAAUGGGCACAAACUGGAACACAGGAGGUUCCAUACAAACACAAGGAAGAAGUUCUUUAUUGUGCAGGUUACAGCACUGGAACAGGCUGCCAAGAGAGGCUGUGAAGUCUUCUCUGAGGUAUUCAAGACCCAGCUGGAUGUUUUCCUGGGCAACCUACUGUAGGGAACCUGCUUUAGCAGGAGGUUGGACUAGAGGAUCUCCAGAGGUCCCAUACAACCCCUACAAUUCUGUGAUUCUGUGAAAACAGAGAUCUUUGCAUUUUGUGAGCCAAAAAAAGGAACUGAAGACCACAAUUGCUCAUCAGAGGAACCACAUACAUGCCAGAUGUGCUUUUACCCCACUGUGAUUGUGAACUAAAAUGUUUGUUUAAAGACUAUAUUUUUAUAGAUAUUAUUGUGCUCAGAGGCAAAUGUAGCCAUGGUAAAUGUACAUUCCCAGCAUAACCCUCUCCAUGAGGGGCCAGGUAAAAAUUCAUAGAUGCAUUUAAAUGGGUUGUAUUGGGAUCACUCAGUCGUCAUCAGAGAAAGAUGAAGGAAUCUCCAAGGACACUUCUUUCCCUACCUUUCAGGAUGGAAUUAAACAACUUUCUGACAUAUCUAUUUCCCUAUAGGGAGCAUAUAGCUGUGGAUGUCAGACAUACAUCACUUAGUCAGCUGAAGUAGAAAGAAUUCCACCCUAAAACAUUAAAGCAAUGAAUUCCUUUUUCUAUAAAUUACAACAAAGUAAAAUUAUGUCUAGCCUCUGUCUUUGUUAAGAGCUUGACAUACAGCAGCACUUAGGAAACUGAUUAUACUGACAGGCUAAUCAAGCAGAGUUUGUUAACUAAAUUUAUGGUAACUAUAUCACAUCUCAAGCAUUACAAAUAUGAAAAAGAGUGUGCCUUAAUCUUCUAUGUAAACAUAGUUUUCUUUUGGGCUCUUCUGAUGCCCUAAUGUUUAUAGAACCAUGUAAUAAAUCAGGACUUAUUUAUCAUAACGAACAGUAGUUCACACAGUGGUUAAAAUUGCUGUUUUCAUUAACUAUGUCAAAGAUCAAAAUAUUAUAAAGGAAGCAUUCAGAUGCAAUGACAAGAGGCGCAGUAUAUGAUCUGAAAUAAACAUGUGUUGUCAUGCACUGAUGUCUUGAACCAUAAUUACACUUCUGGGGAGCUGUCAAUACACAAGCAGAGUUUAUCACCUUCAGUAACAAUUGUGAGCUGGAACAGCUUUAACAGCAUCACAGCAUGGCUGAGGUUGGCAGGGACCCUUGGGUCCAUCUGCUCCAACCCCUGCUCUGGCAGGAAAACCCCAAGCAGGGUGCCCAGCACCACGUCCAGAUGGCUUUCCUUGAAAGCAGAACUGUCUGAAUGCACUCAGUCCCUGAAGCUGGGCUGUAUCAGAACACAACGCAUUAAACCAGCAAAAGAAGUUAAAUGGUAAAAAAGUUCAAAAUCAGUCUUACCUGAAACCCAUCAUAUCCUAAGGAGGCAAGUUCUUUUCUCCCAUCCAGCCCUUUAACUUCAGCUUUUCCCUGAAUCAACAGGUUAUGUGCCUAGACCCAACCACCUCUACCUGUUAGCCCCUGCCUUUCUCUGCUUCAUUUCUCAUGGAUGCCUUAGAUGUCAUUUCUUGCUAUGCACCAGCUACUGUCUGUCUCUCCAAAGUGCUUCUGUCUGUAGGUUGAUCAAGUACUGAGAGCUACUGUGCUCUACAGUGACAGUUCGCUGCAAGGACUGAUUAGAAAUUCAAAAAGGCAAUAAAAGCACAGUGAUUUUGAUGAAAUUCUAAUAAGAGCAUGCAUUUCUGCUUGUUUUGACUAUGCUCCGUUCUCAUCUUUAAGGAUAUUUGAAUAGCUACAGAAGUUGAUACACUUUUCACCGGUGUACGGUUGCAUUAAUCACGCUUUUGCCAUCCAGCUACUCUGUGGUCUUGUGCAAUUCAUUUCACACUCUGAACUUGUUCCCAACCUUUUCUUUCUUUCUUAUUUUUUCUGCUUAUACAGCGAUCUGGCGUUUGAUAUAUGUUUGAGAAAUGCCUGGUACAUUUUGGCCUUGAUAUUGGAUGGGUCUCCUACGAACUGCUGGAAUAUUGUCACUGUCAUCCUCAGCCAUGCUGGGUGGUUUUUGAUCCAUUGUCCCACAGUAUGUCUGAAGGUCAACGUGAACUCUGAAAGGAGUCAGACACAGCACUGACAUAUAUGAACAAUAGUUGCUCUGAAAUCUCUGGGAGUUUUGUGUACAUCUGAGGGCAGAGUUCGGGCCAUAAAGUUUAAGUACAAGCAUCUGGGCACAAUUUUCUCCAGUGAGCAGGAUUCCAAGUUACUGUAACAUCUGCUGUGGGAACUAUAAGUACUUUAUAUUAAUGUUUUACACUGUGUUAGCUAUAAUCACCUUUUUUUAUAGGAAAAAUUUAGUCAUCUCCACCUGGUGAUUCCACUGAUGUGGGCACCUGUCUGCUAGGAAUCGGGCUGAGACCAUAAAUGCAUUUCACACAAGCAAUUGAAGGGCUAUGAGACAGUAAUCUCUUUAGGUUAUAAUUUUCAAGUAACCCAUGCACAGUUUGGUCUUUCUGGGGGGAGUAUUUUUUGUUGCUUAUUUGUUUGUUGGUUUUUUUGUGUGUUUGUGAUUGUUGUUUUUUUCCAGCACAAGAUCAUUUUCAGAUAAGCUCCCAUUUCUCCAUGGGGAUUUGGUUAGCUCUUCAUACUUCAUACUUUGGCAAACUGUUUGGCAAAGAGAUGAGAUGACAAAUGCGCUCACACAUAGAAAAGGAGAGAAUCUUGAGCAGUGCUGUUUGUCCUUAGCCCCCACAGAAAGCAGAGCAAUACUCCAAAACCUAUUAUUUUCUUUGAAUUGAUCGCUUACUUAUAUAUGUGAGUGUAUAACUAGUAAAGAUGUUUUCCAAUAACAUCAGUAGUGUUUUAUCUGUUUUUCUGUGCUCGCUGUCAAUCUCAUUUAUGUAUAUGGCCCUGAUUAAGGAGCUCCUGACUACCUUUUGAACGGAAAGCUAAUUUUUCUCCUAUAUCCAAUCAAGAGAAUAGAGAAAAGAAGCAAACAGCCCAUGCUCAGAUGUAUGCUGCCAUUUAUAGACUGCUGUUGGUAUUUCACUUAGAUGAAAAGAAACUGGAAUUAUGCACUGUUACCUGCAGUUUUACUGCAGUUGUGAAAUAUCAUUAUAAUAAAAUAUAGGCUUUAUUUGAAUUAUAGAUGGAGAUAUAUACAGUUAGUUAUAUAUUUUAACGGGAUAUAUUUUAGCUGGACAUAUUUUACAUAAAAAUAAGUCUUCUGAGAAUCUUCUUAUUGGUGGAGGAAUAUUUCACCUCUACUGCUUCGAUGCUCAUUUUAGUUUGAAAACUACCAUAAAGGCAUAAUAUUCAGUUGGAUUUUUUAUCUAGUUCUUACUGUCUGGCCUGUGGAAAAUGAGUGAAAGAGAAGUAAAGUUUAUCUUUUCUUGUAUUUUUUUUUUAUUUUUAUUUUUAUUUUUGUGAUACAGUGUUAAUAACCAGCACAUCAUUCCCUAUUAGCAGUAAGAAUAUGUUUAUGAAAACUGAUGAGGAUUCACUCCAUUCAGUACAAAAGUAAAUCAGGCACCAGGUUAGUCAAUGCAAAAUGCUACAGCAUCUUGAUACAGUACCAGUGCAGUGUCAACAGAAAGGUAAAAAGUAUGGAUAUACAUGUAUUAUGCAUAUUAACAGAAUCUGUAAGACAGAAUGUCCAAAUCCCAGCAUUGUAUUAAAAAGCCAUGCAGGAAUCUUUAUGCCAUCAGUAAAGAAGAAACAAGUGAGCAACUUCAAUCUCCCCUGAAUGAACCCCAGUAGGAACCUCCUAGAGACAGAAUAAACCUCCUGUAGAAGAGUGGUGUGCAAGGCCAUGUGCCUGCAGAAUCCCAAGGAGAAAUUCCUCUCUCUGCUUUCAGUCGUAACUCUCAGGUCGCGGUACUUAAAUGGCUUGCAGUUUUGCCUUCUUGGAUCAACAUCAAUGCACUAUCAGAGGGUUUUAAUCAUGUGCUAUUUGUUUGAAAAGUUGCAAAGCCCAGUGUCAGAAGUGCUUUUAAAAUUUGCCUCUGAAUCAGGGGUUAGCAGGCAGGAUACCAACAUAGCUGAAAAAGGGUGGCUUGCUAAAGUGAACCCAGAGCCAAUAAGGGGUAUAAUUUUCCUCUGCUUGUGAUUUUCUUCCUGCUGAUUCCAGCUCCAGGCAUUGAGAUGGACUGAUGAAUGCAUGUUUUUGCUGGAUAAGCAGGUAGGGAAGUCACAGACAAAAAAUUCCACAGAACCUUUAUUUUUACCAUACUCAAGUUGUUGCUAAGGAAUAGGUUUUCUUCCAUGCAAAGUAAAAUGAAAUUGAAUAGAUUCAAAUUCUCCAGCUUAAACUGCACGUUAUUAACACUGGCUAAGAAAAGCCCUAAUUUUCUGGCACCUUCAAGCAAUAUGCCUUCAAAAGGAAAAUUUAAUAACUUGCAUCUUACCACAAGAAUGGACCGUAAGUGGUAUUGCCAAUCAACAGCUUUAAGCCCUUUGGUUGUUUGGAUGUGAAUGGCCUACAAGAAUCUUUCUGGAUUCACCAGCGUUGUGGGAACCUUCCACUUACACUUGGCUUGGGAAGUGUGAAUUCUUAUUUUGCAAAGAGCCUGGGGAUGUUGCCAAAGCUAAUAUUCUGGGGUCCAUAUGUGUUAAGUGACCGGCAAUUCUGGAAUACAGCAUCAGGGAGUCAAAUGGGGGAAGCCUCUCUGAGAUACUUCAGCCAAGUAAAGGAAUUUGAGUUUUUUCAAGAAUAAAGUUAAAGCAGAGGAAUGGCCAAGAACAGAAUAUUUGAAUUUUGGAAAAAUUUAAGACAAGAGAACUUUUGUCCAGGCUAUGUGCAUCACAAGCUGUACUGGGGGUUCGUUUUUACAACAAUUAUCUGUUCUGUGCUAAAUGAUCUGCACUUGUUUUAACGACUGUAUAAUAUGAAAAGUCACUGCCCUCAGGACUGUGACCUCUGUGGCCAUGAGAAGGCACAUCUGCUACUAAAAUUUUUCUACAUCCAUUGGAAUGACUAUGUGCCAUAUAGUGCUAAAAUCCUACCAAACAUUUACAGGUGGUAGAUGCUCAUUCAUUGGAUAUCAAGGAUAUAAAUCAUCAUUGUAUACAUUCCAAUAUUUUGCCAGGAUCUGGAUAACACUAAAAGAAAAAAAAAGAAGAAAUUCUUUUAGUUUUUUUCUUUCACAGUUGUCCACCAAAACUCUAGAAGCCUGUAGCAUACAAACAGCAGCUCUGAGGAAUAUCUUCAAAAUGAAAUUUAAAUGAUUCCAUCUCUUUUUCAUAGCAGUUAAUUUAAUCAUACAUGGAUUAUUUUCAAGGGAGCUUGAUGGUAAUACCCACUGUAGAGUUCAUUGCUUUCCUGGCUUCCAGGAAAGGUAAAUUGUUCUUAGAAAAACAAUAACAAAUAUUAAUACUAUGCCUGAGAUUAUUCCAUAAUGCUGAUAAAAGCAGAGCAGAGCAAAGAAAGAAUACAGUCAGAGGCAAAUACUGGGAAUUGGGUAAGAAGAACCGCUACUUAUAAGAAUAUUGUACAAACACAUUUUGAAAUGAAGAGCUGCUUGGAUUUGAAAGAAAUGUUUGUGAAUCUUUUUUUAUUGUAUCAACAAAUCCUGUUUAUCUAAGUGCUUCCAGGUUAUGAGCAAAAAAGCUCAUGCACACUUCAAAUCAUAAAUCCAGUAACUGUUCAAUAAUAUUAAUGAAUACACAUUGGGCACGAGUUGCAAUUCUGGCCAUGUUAAGUAGACAGGAACAAAGGAAAUCAGAAUUUCAAGAACACUUCUGUGUAAGUACUGCUUCUAAACAUAAAUCAGCUUUUCCCUGGCACUACAAUGUGGCACUGUACAAAAAUAGGCUAUACACAUUCCAUUUGUUAAAAUAGUAUUAAAUGUAAAUACAAAAGGAGAUUAUUUUUUUCGGCAGUCUUUUUCAUUAACUGAAAACAAUAAUCAGGAAAAAAAAUCGAUUUGAUUUUGCUCACAUUUAAUGGCCUUCCAUUUAACUCUGUAAAAAGUAAUCACAAAAGUGAUCACAAAAUUUGGGAGUAUAUAGACCAUGUUAAAAUAUUGCCAUGUGAACUAUCUAUUAGGUAAUAUGGUAAAUGUCAGUGCAACAGCCUUAUGCUGAGUAUUUUGUUCCUUAGACUUUCACGGUUGAAUUACUUUGGCUGCUUUUAAAGUGUGAUGCUACCUAAUGCCAGUAAAUAUAUACUUACAAUAAAGUCAACCAAGUCCUAGUAAAUGGUGUUCUCACUUACACCUAGGUUCUCAAAUAAAAGGCAAAUUAGCUUUUAAUAAAAUUACACCAGAAUAUGCCAGUUAUUCACCUUUCUCUUCCAGGCCUUUGUUGUGUUUGGAUACUUAACCUAUAGUGUUUUAUCAGAAUAAUGUCUGUUCUCCAACAACGCAUGCUAAAAAUGUCUGCUAUUAUCCUCGUUUGCUAUUCUCUGAUAAUGCAGCUUGACUUGAAUACUGAAGCUGGCUGCUUGUUUAUGAUCAUGCACAGGCUGACCAGCUCUUUGAAAUGAGUAUUUCCCCUAAUAUACAGGAAAGAUUGACUGGUCUUUAAUUGUCAUUAGAAAACAAGUAGCAAGGUGAUCCAUGGAAUGGAAUAUCUCUCCUAUGAGGACAGGGUGAGAGAGCAGGGGCUGUUCAGCCUGGAGAAGGCUGUGAGGUGACCCGAAACUGGCUCUUCAAUAUACAGAAAAGAAGGGGACAGACUCUUUAGCAGGGGCUGUGGUGAUAGAACAAGGGGAAAUGGUGUCAAGCUUAAAGAGGGUAGAUUUAGGUUAGAUAUAAGGAAAAAGUCUCUUACAGUGAGGGUGGCAAGGCACUGGAACAGAUUGCCCAGAGAUGUGGUGGAUGUUCUGUCCCUGGAGACUUUCAAGGCAACGCUGGAUCAGGACCUGGGUAACCUGAUCUAGCUGUGAUGUCCCUGUUCAUUGCAGGGGAGCUGGACAAGAUGGCCUUCAGAGGUCCCUUCCAACUGUAAGAAUUCUAUGAUCCUACACACUUUGGUCCCUGUCUCCCAUCCCCUUUCAGUCAUCACCUGUUUCCCUGCUGCUUGUUUCCUAGCUCUUCCUGCUCUCACAACACUUUCUCUUAUAUUCUUUUAAUCCUCAUUUUAGCUGAUAUGACUUCUUGCUAUUUAGAAUCAUAGAAUUCUAAACAGGGACAGGGCAUGCACCACAUCACUGGGCAACCUGUCCCAGUGCCUCACCACCCUCUCUGCAAAAGACUUUUCCCUUAUAUCUAACCUAAAUCUCCCCUCUUUAAGCUUUUCCCUCUCUCAUGAAAUUAGAUCCUGGAUGCUUUGCUGUAUUCUUUCUUGUGUCUUUGCACAUUCCUCCCUCACUAUUACCUGGCAUUUCUGGCCUCAUCCUGCCUCUGACCUCUGCACACAGCUUUUGUUUUCCCAUCUUGCUCUUGAUUAUUUAGCAACACCUUCAUUUAAGCUGGUUCACAUCCUAGUUUCCUUUUACAAGCAUCUGAGAAAAAGCUGGAGUGCUAAUGGGAGAUAACUAGACAUUUUUGGCGUAACAGUCGCAAGUGAUAUGGUUUCGGAACUUCUGGGUAGGUCCUGUUUUUUCCUCAUGUGCAAUACUUGAAUUCUCUUCAGUAUUAAGUACUGCCUGAGUUUGAGUACAUUGGUGUGAAAAGCAUAAAUGCACUGGAGUUAUUCUUCAACCUGCUCUAACACAUUACCUGUCUGUUCUUAGUCUGGUUUUCUCAACAAAAGGGAACUAUAAGACACUGGACCUGAUGAACAUUAUGAUUAAUUAACUAACUAAUCUGUCCUGUUUAACAAUGUAAGCAUAGCUCAUAGAAUGCACUAAAUGAACUUAAACCUCAUUUCCUAAGAAAACUCUCACUGUGUCAAAGAUAACAGCUCAUCAGAGUAUUAGUAGAAAAAUUCUGGAGUAGUUGGACAAAUGAUGAAAGAAACUUCACUGCAAAUGUGAGAUUAAAUUAAUAAAUGCAAGAUUGCAAGAACCGCCCUGGAAAAACUUUGCUAUUAAUUUCUGGCAGUAGGAUUUCAUCCAUCUUUAAGUGUUACAUGUUUGCACAGCAUGAUAACUUCAAACAUCUUCGGUGCUAUGAACAGCGAUGACAAUGUGUCUAAGAGGGCUUGAGGGACUGUCUGGGUCACAUCUCUUCUAAAACUAACAAAUAGAAUCUCUGGAUUUCCGUUGAUCAGUUAUGGCUUGAAUGAUUUGUUUGUUCCAAUGGAUUUUUUAAUUAUUAUUAUUUUACUAUUUUUUGAGGAUCAUGAUUCACUCCUGCCUGUGGCUGAAUGAUGUCUGUAAAGAAAGAGGAUUUGGAGCAUUCCUGGCAGUGAAUUUGUAAAUAAGCCGCAUUUUCUCUGCAUGAACCUUCCAUUGCUGGACUCUCUGACAGUGAAAUUUCUCUCUCUUUGUUCUAGUGCUCAACUUUGUCCUAUAGGAACACAGAAAAUGUAGAAUUAUUUAAAAAAAAAAAAAAGGAAAAAAAAAAGAAAGAAAAUCAACUUUUAUCUCUUGGAAGAACUACAGAGUGGUGUGUUUACUACUGUCCUUGUAAGAAUCAAUGCCUUAAAAUUUGGCAACAGGCAGAUAGUUGAAAUGCACAUGUUGGUCGCAGCAGGAAAGCUAGCAAUGGAUAAACUACUAUGUAAAAUAUGUAUAGCAAAAGUGGCAGAUCUCUUACUCUGUCUUCUUACCAUUGAAAGUGGAGUAGCCAUGUCCAGUCUACCUAAUGUGACUGCUCUCUUGACUCUUGAAAACUCCAUAAUAGGGCUCUGUGAACUGUUUAAAAGAUCUGUUUUGCCCGUAGUCUUUAACAAUUUAACCAUGCAGAUAGUUGAAAUCAAACUUCCAGGAACGGUCCUUUGUAGAAGAAGGAACCAGACAACAAUUCCUGGUAUACCCUUAGUUUUGCUCUUACCAAAUGAAAAAAAAUCCUCAUCUGAAAUGAAGACAGAAGUCCGAUAAAAAUUGUGAGUGCUGUUAAAUAUAAACUCAGGAUGCCCUUUUUGGUUUGUUUUUGGUUAGACAUUGGAGUUUUUCACUAACUUUGAUACUAAUUUUCUGCUGGUGUUUUGCUGUUCCUUAGCAUAUCUCUGAGCCACCAGCAUAGUUUUGGUUAGCAUAUGACAGUUUAAUACAUAACGAUACGUAUCAAACAUGCCUAAUGUUCAUUGUCUAAAACUCAGACAUAUGGUCCCAAUCAGUUCCUUAUAUAUUUUGGGUAGCAAAGGUAAAGGUGACAGCAUGCAUAUGGCUCAGCCUAACAUGUAGCAUAAAAAUUGAACAACAAACAAAUUCGUGUCACUCUCCUUAGUUAACUCAUUCUUCAGAAAUUUAGAAUGCUUCUACAAAGGAAACAGUGGGUGGGUUUUCAGAGAAGUUGAUGUAAACAUGCUAACAAGAGGAAUGGCCAGAAAGCAGAUGGUCUUCUGCUUUCUCAUUUUAGAGCUACUGGAUCAGGUGUUGAAAAAGCCUUCCAUCUUUCUAAUGCAAAAAUGGGAGGAAAAACAACCCUUUACAAAAACACAGAAAAGAGUAAUGGCUGCUUAUUCUGACAUCUAUCAGUAGGAAGCAUUCAAAAAAUGCAAUUCCUUUCAUGGCACUGAUUAAUAUUUCAAAUAAAUGUGUCCCAGUCAAAGGAAAUGUGUCUAUUCACAGUGGCUAUAAUUUACUGUAGAUUACUCAGGAGAAAGGCCUGGGAAAUGAACACCACUUUUCGUAAGGGCCAAGAUGUCGGCAUGAAAAUCAUUUGUAUUUACAUUCUAGCAUUUUCAUAACAUCAGACCAAGCUGAUGUUUCAAAGUAAGUGUUUCACUGGAUUGCAGCCUUUUGUUUUCCUUGGAGGCCUCCCUGCCACUAACAACAAUACAAGUGCAUGUACAGAGUAACACACACAGAGCUAGGGAAAUAAAAAAGCACAUUGCAUCCAAUUGUUAGAGAACAUCUAGGAUUAUCUGUCAUGCAAUAGCUAUGAAUAUUUAAAUGAAAAAAAAAUCAG
ensembl:lncRNA